rnacentral:lncRNA from 1 species
AUCUGAUCACUUGUUUGGGGUAAUUGAAUUUCAUCAUGAAUGGUGAGCUCAGUCAGAAUUUGAUCCUGCAGUCACUCUUUGAUUUCUUCUUACAGUUUGUCAUUAACUUCCAUAUGAAGAAACUGAAUACUAGCCCAUCUAAACUAUUGAAUAUACUUAAAAUAGUAGAGAGCCAUUUCAAGGGUGAAAAAGCUCUAGUUCUUCUUGUAAAUAAGAUCUCCAAGAAGAAAGGCA